CUAGACGGGGAGGUAGCGGUGCCCUGUACCCGAAAUCCGCUCCAUGCGGGGUCGAAUCCCCACCCGAGGUCUUGAUCUCUUGAGGUUUCCUCCCGGGGUGAGGGCGUUGAGGGUUGGGUCCUGCGCAAGGAGGGGCUGCGAACUCCGCCAGGUCCGGAAGGAAGCAACGGUAAGGAGAUUCCUUCCUGUGCCGCAGGGGAGCCCGGCCGGAGCUUUCGCCCUUGGUCUGGCGCCCCAAGGGGCGGAUCGACGGUGGGUGCACGG
rnacentral:SRP_RNA from 1 species